rnacentral:misc_RNA from 1 species
UCCGGUUUAUCACCAGCAGUCUACCUAGAGUUCCCACCAUUAUGUGCUGGCAACUAGGUACAGGGGUUGCGCUCGUUACGGGACUUAACCCAACAUCUCACGACACGAGCUGACGACAGCCAUGCAGCACCUGUCUUAGCUUGCCCGAAGGCACUCCCGCAUCUCUGCAGGAUUGGCUAGAUGUCAAGGGUAGGUAAGGUUCUUCGCGUUGCAUCGAAUUAAACCACAUGCUCCACCGCUUGUGCGGGCCCCCGUCAAUUCCUUUGAGUUUCAGCCUUGCGGCCGUACUCCCCAGGCGGGGCACUUAAUGCGUUAGCUACGGCACAGGCGGGAUUAAUACCGCCCACACCUAGUGCCCAUCGUUUAGGGCGUGGACUAC